rnacentral:misc_RNA from 1 species
GUAACAAGGUUUCCGUAGGUGAACCUGCGGAAGGAUCAUUACCGAGUGCGGGUUCUAACGAGCCCAACCUCCCACCCGUGUUUACUGUUACCGCGUUGCCUCGGCGGGCCCACUGGGGCCUGGCCCCGGUCGCCGGGGGGCUUCUGCCCCCGGGCCCGCGCCCGCCGAAGCACCCUAGAACCCUGCCUGAAUAGUGAGUCUGAGUGAGAUAUUAAAUCAUUAAAACUUUCAACAACGGAUCUCUUGGUUCCGGCAUCGAUGAAGAACGCAGCGAAAUGCGAUAAGUAAUGUGAAUUGCAGAAUUCCGUGAAUCAUCGAAUCUUUGAACGCACAUUGCGCCCCCUGGCAUUCCGGGGGGCAUGCCUGUCCGAGCGUCAUUUCUGCCCUCCAGCACGGCUGGGUGUUGGGCGCUGUCCCCCCGGGGACACGCCCCAAAAGCAGUGGCGGCGCCGCGUCGGGUCCUCGAGCGUAUGGGGCUUUGUCACCCGCUCGGGAGGGACUCGGUCGGCGCUGGUCUUCCUUUUAGGCAGCCCUUCGGGGUGCGCCUCUUCCGGUUGACCUCGGAUCAGGUAGGGCUACCCGCUGAACUUAAGCAUAUCA